rnacentral:lncRNA from 1 species
AGUUGAUUACCACUAAGAAUGGUCGAUCAGCUCUCGCGUAUUUCUACCAAACCUAACUCAAUCAGAAUAUUAUCAGGAAAAAAAUCUACUCUCGCAGUAUCCUAUGUCCUAAGUUCAGUGUCUAGUUAAUUACUCUAGAACCAUGCAUUAAGAAUACUUCUAAUCAAUGGGUAUCAAUUCUCUAACAAUCCUAUUUUGGGGCUAAUUCAUCAGAACCAUAUAGAACCCUAAACCUAACAGGUGGAUCUACUCAGACAUGAUAGUUGUCACAGAUAUCAUAGAUGAAUAGAUAAGAAAUUGCAAUAGAUAUAAAUUAUAAAACCAAUGGAGUUCCAAAAGGAUUCUGAAGGAGUUCCUCUCUUCUCUCAUAACCUAGAACUAUGAAUAAAAUAAAGCUUAGCCGUCAACAAUGGC